rnacentral:rRNA from 1 species
UACGUAGGGUGCGAGCGUUAAUCGGAAUUACUGGGCGUAAAGCGUGCGCAGGCGGUUCGCUGUGUCCGAUGUGAAAGCCCCGGGCUUAACCUGGGAAUGGCAUUGGAAACUGGCGGGCUUGAGUGUGGCAGAGGAAGGUGGAAUUCCACGUGUAGCGGUGAAAUGCGUAGAGAUGUGGAGGAACACCAAUGGCGAAGGCAGCCUUCUGGGCCAAUACUGACGCUCAGGUGCGAAAGCGUGGGGAGCAAACAGG